rnacentral:rRNA from 1 species
UAGCUAAGGUCAGGCCGAAAGGCGUAGCCGAUGCACAUACGGUUGAUAUUCCGUAACCAUCUGUAAUUUAAGCAAAGGGACACUUCAAAAGGGUGUGACCCGGGCGUUGGUUGACCCGGGCGUAAGGGACCGAAAUUAGAGUAGGGAAGCACACUUAGCUGAAGGCGAGAAAAGCUUUGCGAAUAGAAGCAGAUGCCCGUACCGCAAACCGACACAGGUGGGCAGGAAGAGAAUUCUAAGGCCAGCGGGAGAAGGGUAGUUAAGGAACUCGGCAAAUUGACUCCGUAACUUCGGAAUAAGGAGUGCUCGAAAGAGCCGCAGAGAAUAGGCCCAGGCGACUGUUUAGCAAAAACACAGGUCUCUGCCAAAUCGAAAGAUGAAGUAUAGGGGCUGACACCUGCCCGGUGCCGGAAGGUUAAGAGGAGGAGUGAGAGCUCCGAAUUGAAGCCCCGGUAAACGGCGGCCGUAACAAUAACGGUCCUAAGGUAGCGAAAUUCCUUGUCGGGUAAGUUCCGACCCGCACGAAUGGUGUAACGAUCUGGGCACUGUCUCAACUACCCACCCGGCGAAAUUGUAGUACCGGUGAAGAUGCCGGUUACCUGCGGCAAGACGGAAAGACCCCAUGGAGCUUUACUGUAGCCUGAUAUUGGGUUUCGGAAAUCUAUGUACAGGAUAGGCGGGAGACUGGGAAACAUGAGCGUCAGCUUGUGUGGAGUCGAUGUUGUGAUACCGCCCUUAGGUUUCUGGAAUUCUAACCUGCGGCCGUGAAUCCGGUCGGGGGACAUUGUCAGGUGGGCAGUUUGACUGGGGCGGUCGCCUCCGAAGAGGUAACGGAGGCGCUCAAAGGUUAGCUCAGCACGGACGGAAACCGUGCCUCUGAGUGUAAACGCAAAAGCUAGCCUAACUGCGAGGGUGACGGCCCGAGCAGUAACGAAAGUUGGAGUUAGUGAUCCGGCGGUAUGUGAAUGGAAAUGCCGUCGCUCAACGGAUAAAAGCUACCCUGGGGAUAACAGGCUGAUCUCCCCCAAGAGUCCACAUCGACGGGGAGGUUUGGCACCUCGAUGUCGGCUCAUCACAUCCUGGGGCUGUAUUCGGUCCCAAGGGUUCGGCUGUUCGCCGAUUAAAGUGGUACGCGAGCUGGGUUCAGAACGUCGCGAGACAGUUCGGUCCCUAUCUGUCGUGGGCGCAGGAUAUUUGAGGAGCUCUGUCCUUAGUACGAGAGGACCGGGAUGGACGUACCUCUGGUGCACCAGUUGUCAUGCCAAUGGCACGGCUGGGCAGCUAUGUACGGAACGGAUAAACGCUGAAAGCAUCUAAGCGUGAAGCCGACUCCAAGA